GGGGCCGAAAAAACAAAAAAGCCUCAAGAUCAAAUAAGGAGGGAAAGAUGAAAAAAGGCGGCGGCAAGGCGGCAAAUUCUCGAACACUUCUCUUUCUCUAUCAUCUCUCUCAAACUCAAAACCAUCUAAAUUCUCACUUCUAGUCCUUCCUCGGCUUGUCUUUUCGUCGUUCUACAAAUUUGAAAUGGUUGCUUAACUUUUUGCAGAUCCUUCUCAACUGUGUCAUUUUAGGGAUGAAAUUCUCAUAAUAAGGAGUUUCAUUUUGCUUGCUGAGGUUAUACUUCAUACCUCUCUUUGCCACAUCAAAUUCUGCGCCACUUUGGCAGUGUGACCUGUCCAGUAAGAGCCCUGCAGAGCUGCAUUCCGCAUGGUGUCUAUUAAUCCCCUUCGAUGCUGCACUCAUGGACGCAGCUGAGGCCGCAUUUGCAAGAGCCAAAAGAUCUGCGAAAGGAACAU